rnacentral:tRNA from 1 species
GGGGUGAUGGUCCGAGUGGUUAGGCGUUGGAUUGCAAAUCCAAAUUAGUCCGGUUCAAAUCCGGUUCACCCCUCCA